UACGGGGGGGGGCAAGCGUUGUUCGGAAUUACUGGGCGUAAAGGGCUCGUAGGCGGCCAACUAAGUCAGACGUGAAAUCCCUCGGCUUAACCGGGGAACUGCGUCUGAUACUGGAUGGCUUGAGGUUGGGAGAGGGAUGCGGAAUUCCAGGUGUAGCGGUGAAAUGCGUAGAUAUCUGGAGGAACACCGGUGGCGAAGGCGGUUCUCUGGGCAUUACCUGGACGCUGAGGAGCGAAAGCAUGGGGGAGCGAACAGG
rnacentral:rRNA from 1 species